CGCGGCCUAUCAGCUUGUUGGUGAGGUAACGGCUCACCAAGGCGACGACGGGUAGCCGGCCUGAGAGGGCGACCGGCCACACUGGGACUGAGACACGGCCCAGACUCCUACGGGAGGCAGCAGUGGGGAAUAUUGCACAAUGGGCGAAAGCCUGAUGCAGCGACGCCGCGUGAGGGAUGACGGCCUUCGGGUUGUAAACCUCUUUCAGCAGGGAAGAAGCGAAAGUGACGGUACCUGCAGAAGAAGCGCCGGCUAACUACGUGCCAGCAGCCGCGGUAAUACGUAGGGCGCAAGCGUUGUCCGGAAUUAUUGGGCGUAAAGAGCUCGUAGGCGGCUUGUCACGUCGGGUGUGAAAGCCCGGGGCUUAACCCCGGGUCUGCAUCCGAUACGGGCAGGCUAGAGUGUGGUAGGGGAGAUCGGAAUUCCUGGUGUAGCGGUGAAAUGCGCAGAUAUCAGGAGGAACACCGGUGGCGAAGGCGGAUCUCUGGGCCAUUACUGACGCUGAGGAGCGAAAGCGUGGGGAGCGAACAGGAUUAGAUACCCUGGUAGUCCACACCGUAAACGUUGGGAACUAGGUGUUGGCGACAUUCCACGUCGUCGGUGCCGCAGCUAACGCAUUAAGUUCCCCGCCUGGGGAGUACGG
rnacentral:rRNA from 1 species